rnacentral:lncRNA from 1 species
UUUGAGACAAGGUCCUGCUGUGCUGCCCACAUGGGUCUCAAACUUGUGGGCUCAAGCAGUUCUCCUGCUUCAAUCUCCGGAGUACUGAGACUACAGGUGUGGUGACACGUUGUAUAUAUCUAGGUUUUUUAUUAGUGGAUUAAUAGCAUGAAGCAACUUCUAAAGAGUAAGGUAAUCUUGCAUUUUGAGAAACCCCAUGUAUUUUCAAGUGUGCCUGACUUCUGAGUUUUAAGGUAAAAGUGAACCAAAUGAAAACAAUUCUGUAAGAAUUUUAGCUUAUCAGGUUUUUCUAUGAUAUAUAGUUAUUUAUUGACUCUUUCUUGCUUUGUCUAAGGCAUGGGGUUAUUGAGAACUCUGGAGACUCUUUUGACAUGUCAGUGGUCUUCUAAGAAAAACCAGUGUUUGCUUUUCAUCUGAAGUGCCUGGUAUAUUCCUCCAUGAUUAGAGGGUUCUUGAUAAGAAUUAUUUUGUAAAUGAACUUAAUUUGAAUUUUGUUACAUUAUAUUGAAUAAUUGUUUUAUCUUCAAUCAAGAUAAGUCCAGAAAUGGAUGCUAUUGCUAAAUUUAAAUUCCAAGGCAGGAGAUAAAAUAUCUUAAUUUUCACAGAUGCCUUGGAACCUGUGACCCCGAAUUAGUUUUUUACUAUGCAUUAUCACAUUUAGAAAUUUAAAAAUCAUCAUAAAAAUCUCAGGAAGCUUGUAUUUGUGGUAUAUUAAUAUUAGAGUGCUGUUAAUAUUAUUGCAUCCUUAAUUUAGACUCUGCUGGUUUUUCCUUUAUUUAAUGAGGUACCUCUGUGUCUGUCAUUUGAGUUUUGCUGUUGCAGUUUUGUCAUUUGUGGCCUGGAGGGAAGCCCUAUUUGGUUAUAGGUGUUCCUGUAGAGAGGUCUCUCUUUUAAGAGCUCUGCUGAGUAAGUAAAUGGUAGGUAGCUGAUAGAUAGGGCUACUGUUUCAUGUCUUUUUGGUUCCUCAGUCCUCUCUUUGAAUAUGCUGAAUUUGUAAAGUUUAAAUUCUUUUCUUUCCUUUUUUUUUAAGUUAGGUUUCUUAUUGAAGUAAUUCAUGUACAUAGUUGAAAGAAAUAAAAUACUUGAAAAGAGCAAUUUAGCAUCCCAAAGAGGUAUACUUUAAUGGUUUAUUUUAGUAUUUACUUUCUAUUUAAAAAUGAUAUAGUACUUUUUUCUUGAUUUAAUCAGUUUCAAAAGAGAGUUAUUGAAUUCUGUUUAUGGUAGGCAGGAUUUGCUUUUUUAUAUCCACAUGUCUCCUGAUUUUCUUUCCCUAUCCCUUCCCUUACCUAGAUUUUGUUAAAUCAGUAGUUACAAAUAUUGUUCACUGACAGUCUACACGACUAUCAUUAUUUACUUUCUAUUAUUUUUCCUAGAGUUAUGUUGCCCAAUUGUAAAAUUUGCUUAGUAUUGUUUAUAUACCUAUCACAGUGAUAAUCCAAAGCCACAAUUCCUCAAAAACAUCACAUAAUCUAUACAUUUCUUUUUAUGGUUGCCCUUUAUGGGCAGAAUUUCUUCCACAAUCUCUCUUUUGCCAUUUGGACUGUGCACUCUCCAGGCAUGUUUCUGUCUGUGCAUUGUGAUGUAGUCUCACUUUGUAUCUCCUGUUUAUUCGAUACGAUGAUUUCUUCUUUCUUGAUUUACUGUCUCUGUUUAAAGAAUUGUUUUUGCCAGAGCUUAUGCACAAUAGCUUCCUGAAAAGAUGCAUUGGAGGUAUAGAUUUUGAGGCUUUCCAGGUUUGAAAAUGUCUCUACUCUGGAUUGAUUGUGGUUAGGAGUCUGUCAAAAAGAAUUUCCUCUCAGAAUUUUAAAGGCACUGUCUUUCAUCACUUGAUAUUACUGUGAGAAUUCUGACAUCCUUCUUACUUUUACUCUCUGGAGGCAUUUAGGAGCAUCUCUUUACAAAAACCCUAAUGUUUCAAAAUGUCUGUCUUUAUUCAUUCAUUUUAAUGAGUACUUGACUUGGUGGAGUCUCCCAGUAGAUUUGCCUGUUUUGAUUCUAGGAAUUUUUUGUGUGUUGUUUCUUUGAUUAUUCUUUCUGCCCCAUUUUGAAUGUUGAACUUCACAGAUUCCAGACUGAUACUCUAAUUUUAAAAGUAUUUUCUCCAGUUGCUGCUUCAAUUGUAUUAUUUUUUGUUGUUUUUGUUACCCUUUAGGUCUUCAGUUGAAUUUUCUACAUUUAAAUUGCCAAGAGAUCUUUUUACUUUGUUACUUUUCAUAAAACCCUAUUUUUAUUUUAUAGAUUCAGUGCCUCUUUAUCUCCCUGAGUACAAAAUAAUGGGCUUUUCCUUAUAUCUUUCCUCUUUCUUUCAUCAUUUCUAUUCCCCAUAUUCCUGCUUUUUAUUUGUGUUGUACUCUUUCUUUCUGAAGGCUUUCUUAGGAAUUUGGAGAGAUCAUCCAUUCAGGUUAGUCAUGUACCACAAAGCUAAUUUCAUAGGCCUUUAUGUUUGGGCUGUUUUAUCAGUUGUCUUAAGGGCCAUGGGGCAGAGGGCUAGCCUUUUCGGUUAGGAUCUACUGAAUUUCAGUGUAGAUUUUGUCUUUGGUGUCAUUCAAUUUCUCUAGAAAGUUGCUUUCUGAAAAUAGCUUAGGAGAAGAUGGCUGAAAACCCUACAGUUUGUGUGAUGGCCUUUACUUAAUCUCUGUAUUUUCAGCUUUCUUCAUAUCCCAUCCCAUCCCACCUAAGUCCUCUAUGAUUUGUAACCCUCUGUUGCAGUUUUCCUGUGGAUAGCAGAAGAAGGUGGUUGGCGGCUGUGGAGAGUAGGGGAGAGAACCAGGGAUCCAAUUACUUUUGUAUAGAGUUCUAAUCCUCAUUUCAGCCCUGUGCCUCCCUCCUUUUAGCCCUGUGCCUCCCUCCUUUUUUCUACAAUAACAAUAUUUCCAAAUCUUGCACUUAACAGAGGUUUGAUGUAUUUUUGCUUCUCCCUCUUAGGCUUCUGCUUAGGCUUUAACCUCCUCCAUACUCCUCCUGGCUUCUAUUCUUUGAAACUUUUGAGAUUUCUUGACUUUGUAUUCUGUUCUCUUUGUCUUUGGGAAUUAAUUUCUUUUAUAUUCCUUAAGUGUCUUUUUGGUGGGGUUUUGGAAGUAGAGAAAAUAAAUUCAUGUGGCCAGUUCACCGUGUUUAACUGAAAGUCUAUAUUUAAAUUCUAAUAGUGUGUAAGAAAAUAAAAAUUCUUUAAUAUUUUGCAAUUCAUCCUUUCCACUUAGUAAUUUUUAAUUCCCAUGCUUUUACUGUACUACCUACCUCAUACAGCUGGCAGUACUUAAAACACCUAGAAUAGUGCCUGGUACACAGUAUGUGUUAAAUAAGGAUUCUUUAUUAUGAAUAUUGUUAUUAUCAUUAUUAAUUUCACUACUAUCAUUCCGAAUUCAGUAGCCCCUUUAGACUUGAAUGAAGAUGUUUUGCCAUAGGAAUAAUUAUUAAUAUCUGGGAAAAUAUAAUGUUGAUAAUAUUGACAUUACAUUACUUCACAUGAGGUGUUCAGUGUUAUUUUUUUUUUUUUUUGAGAAAUGUUAAAGCCUUAAGAAAUCCAAUUAGUAGUCAUUACUUCAAAUGUUUUAAGAAGAGUAUAAUAAUUUUGAAGUGCUUUUAACUUUAUUGGAACUGUUUUGGUCUUAUCUAAAUAUGAGGUAUGGAGAAUAAAGUUAUGAAGAUGGUAUUUGUUAUACCUUACUUGUAGCUAGUAGAUAUAAUAACUUUUUGACCACAUAGAUUACAGGAAUAGAGAAAUAGUAGAUUGCAAACAUUGCAUCUGUAACCUUCUUGUGAAUGGUUGUACACCUUUCAGAAAAUGUUGUGAAUGUAUACAAAGAAAAUGCAUGCAUUUAUUCAGUAGGUAAAAGUUUAAUUUAUUGUAUAAUUAGAAUGUUUUGGAGAAUGUUUAAAUACUUAAUAUUUAAAAAUAUUUUACUUUAGAUUGGUUUUUUUAUGUUAAUAUCUAAAAGUAAAAUAAUUUGUUCUAGGUACAAGGUACUCUGAGCCUAUUUCAAAAUUCCUUUUUCUAAGAUAUUUAAAGUAUCCUUUUAUGUUUGGAUUAAGGGAGUUGCAUAAUAAGAUUCAGUUCUUAGAAAUGAAAUGGAAGUAGGUGAUGCAUUACUUUUUUUUUUUUUUAACGGACACUGAGCUGUAUAUUUUGAGGAAGGAGAUUUUUAUCUCUAAGGACAGUUGCAUUUUUUCCUCACAAAGUAGAAUCCCAUGUUGUGACAGAUGGCUGUAAAUAUCAAUACCUCCAGAGAUUAGAAUUUUUUUUAUCCAAAAGCAAUAGCCAGUUGCUUAGUGUAACUAAACCUCUUUGCAAAUAGAGCAGAUGAAAAUAGAUAGUAGUUGUACCCAAGGCAAAACAAACCCUGCUGUUGUCAUAACACUGGCAUUUUCCCCUUUUCUUGGAUGUCUCUGUUAUAGGCUUUAUUGGGUCCUCUUACGUCUGCUUUGAUCUCUGAGUUUUGAUGUCUGCAUCUUUAGAGUCCUUAUGCUGUAUCUUCUCCAAAUGAGGUAAUUAAUCUAGUAUAUUUUCAUAAGAUAAAAUUUGUCCUUUUUGCCCUUUAAUAUGUUCUCCCUCCCCUUGGUCUUCCUUCUUUCUUACCUUCCUUCUUCCCUCUUUCCCUCUCUUCCUUCUUUCCUCCCUCCCUUUCUUUUUGUUAAUAAACCAUUACUAUAAGCCAAGUGUUUGACUUCAUUUUAGCCUCAUAAUGGAGAUAUUAAAGUACAAGAAUACAAGACCAACCAACAUGCACAGAUAUAGGAUUAACACAUGUUUGGUUAGAAUUAAUAUUAUUAUCUGAAAUUCUAAGUGUUUGCAUUAUCUAUUGAUUGAGUAUUUUAGUUCCUACACCUCUUCAUUUUUUUGGACUUAAUGAAUGACUAAUCCAGAAUUUACCAACCAAGCCCAGAAUUUGAUGGCAGGGUAGAUUAAAUUUUGAUCAGUUAUAGAUAAACGAAAUGAAUUAAUGUAAGGGGUGUUUACACAUUAAGUAGUACCUUGACAUCAAUGAGAAGUAAUUUUCAUGUAGUCCCAAUAUCAGAAAUGAACAAAAUAUAUGACUGAAAUAAAUUUUCUCCUCAGUUUUAUUCUGUCAGGCUUGAAGGAGAAUGCUGUUGAUAUUCCCUGUCUUUUUAGAAAGUUUGGCACAAAGAAUUUUUUUUACCCACUUUCAUUUCAAUAUAACAUAUAUAACCCGAUUUGAUUAGAUGGGAUAGUUAGGAACAUAGGAGAGAACGGUGCCAGGAAGGGAUCCAGAGCCACCAGGAGCUAUGUACCUACACUCUCCUUUCCUGGGCCUUUCCUGGUAUUAGACACAGAAGUCAUCAUGUGGAUGAGAUGAAGCAGUUUAGGAAUGAAGAAUGGUGAGUCUCGGGGCAUGAAAGGGAGUGUUCUAGGAAAAUGUUUCAGUCUUAUCUGCACCAUGCCCUUUCUUCCUGUACUUGGACUUCAUAUCCUGGGAGAACUGGGUAUUUUCCACCUCUCUUCUUAAUUUUUCAAAGCAAUACUUGACUAUAUAGCUUUUAUUAGAUAAUAAUUUAGAUAAUAUGGAUAAAUCUAAAUUCACCUUCAUGUGCACUCCCCCAGGAAGAGGUUAACUACUCUUUUCGGGUAUGGACUCUUUCAGGCCUAUUUCUUGAGUGUUGACUUAGAUUUUGUGGAGGUCCCCGUUUUUACUAGUUUGGAUUAGCUCAUUAAAAGCAAGAUAGUUUAAUAAACAGUGGCACACUUACGUUAUGUAGCCUGUAAUAGGAGAUGACUCUAUAUUGCUUUACUUGAGUAUAUUUCUGUGUAUGACAGUUGAACAAUUCUGACCCCUACAUUGUUCGUCAGAGAGGUGUUCUAGCUCUUUCAUUUUCUAUGAAUUGAUUACGUUUUUCUAGAUAGAGCAUUUUUCUUUAAAAGAGAAUGCUAAAGUUUCUAGUGCUUUCUUUAAUUGUGAGGGAGCAUGAGUGUAUGUAUGCAUGUGUAUGGUUUCUUGGUUGUGGAAAAUGCAACUUGGAGUCCUUUGUUUUGAGACUCACAGUUUUAUGUUUAGUUUUACAGUUAAUUUUAAAAUGUUAGCUAUAAAGGAUCAAAACAGUUUUGCUGUAGAAGUUAACCAACUUUUGCUGUAGAAGUUACCACAACUUGGUCAAAAUAGAGAGUUGUGUUUUUGUUUGUUUGGCAACAGUCAAAAGUGUGGCCUCUAGAUAGUAAGGGUUAAGCAUCCAGAUUUCUGUCAGUGAAAGUAUAUAUGUCCAUGCAAUUAAAAACGUCAUUUAACAAAUUUAUGUAGUAAAUAAGUAUUCAGUGAAUGCCUCUUCAAUCUUAUCACUGAAAUUAACCUCCAUACUUGAAUAAAUAGGAAUUCUAUAGGUGGCCUUUUCUUGUAGAAUUUGGGGUUGCUAGGUUAUCAAGAGUUUCAUCUUGCCUUCAGAAUUGGCAUACUCAGGUGAUAUUUCAUAGCCCUUUGUCAUCAUUCCCAUCUUGGGUGAGGCCUUAGAAUACAACUGUCAUUUAGCUCUAUUAUUUCUUCUUUAUUUUCUUGUUUAGCAAUAAUUGGCUGGAGAAGUUUGUGAUAAUAUAUAUCUGUGGUUUAGUAGUGUGACAUUAUAUGGCAACCUUUCUUUUUUUUUCCUUUCUAUGACAACUCUGAUCAAUUAGUUUUGACUUCCAGAAAUACUGAAGGAGAAGCUAGAAUCAGCAGAGAGUGAUGUACCUAUUUGAUUAAUGAUGUCUUCAUGGGCUUGGUAAAAGGUGCGGGGAAUGGUGGCAAGGAUAGCUGUCAUCGAGAACACAGGGCAAUGAUUAUGGUGUAGACUUAGCAUAAUUUUGCUAGAUUUUAUUUUUUUAAGCAGUCACAAUAAACACAAUCAACAACUCAUAAUUGAUUCCCUGUUUUCAGUUUCUACUGUCCAAAUAGGAUGAACUUAAAUAUAUGAAUAUUUUAAAAAUAGAAAAUGGAGCUGGGUGCAGUGGUACAUGCCUGAAAUCCUGGCAGCUGGGGAGGCUGAGACAGGAGGAUCAAGAGUUCAAAGACAGCCUCAGCAAAAAGCAAGGCACUAAGCAACUCGGUGAGACCCAGUCUUUGAAUAAAACAUAAAAAAGGGCUGGGGAUGUGGCUCAGAGGUCAAGUGCCCCUGGAGUUCAAUCCCCAGUACCAAAAAACAAAGUAGAAAAUAGAAACAAACAUAGCUCAUCAUCUCUUCAUUCAGACCAAGUGUGUAUGUGUAUGUGUGUGUGUGUGUGUGUAUAUAUAUAUAUACACGCAUAAGUAAUGUAUAUCAUUAACUUACUAGCAGUGCCUUUAUGAAUUUAAAAAAAACCUUUGCAACCUUGACAUGAUGCUCAGGAAAAAAUAAAGUGCUAAUACUAUUUUCUAAAAGUAAGUGAAACUUAACAGCAUAUCAGUGCUUUGCGUAAGUCACCUUUCAUGUUUAGAUCAUCCUUGGUCAUCACUGGAGAGAAGAGUUUCAGUUCAUUUGUGGUUUUGCAAGUAGCAAACCUCCUUAGAGAUAAGUUGCAACUUUCAUUUCUUGUUUUUGUGAAUCAGGCCAUGUUGGCCACAUGAAGUCCUUGAAAGUGACUUGAGUCUGGACCUACCAUUUCUGGUCUUAUAACAUUCUUUUUUGGGGGACAUUUGGCAUCCUCUAUGUGGUGUUUGCAUGUGUCACCUUUGGGGAUGUGACUCCUAUGGGUAUUUUUGGUGGGGGGUAUGAUGGGAGUAGAUACAGUUUUAGAUGAUUUUUUUUUUAAUACUUCAAGUACAAUACUUAAAGCUAUUUCAAGUAGCUUGCUCCAGGAAAAUGAAGAAAUGAAGGGUUUUGUGUCUUCUAGUUUUAAUUUUUUGUUUUUGCCCUUUGCUUUCCAUACUAUGUUUUUGCCUUCCGGUUUUCAAAAUUCUGUGUAUUAUCUCAACCUUCUCUUCCUACCUGCUCUGAAGAAUGUCUACGAAAUCGUGGUUGGGUGUUUAAAGGAAAUUUCUAAGCACUUUACAGUAUUAUCCAUAAUUUGCUGAAAAGCAAGUCAUGAAUGUUUCUCAUUUUUUUUACCUUUCCCUUUUUCUUUCUUCACUUUAUCUUUUUUCUUCAAUUUUUAUUUAUGAUUAUAGAAUCCUCAAAAAUGGCUCCUCUGUGUGUCUUUAUUUGGUGUAUUACUUUGGAAAAGAAAAGAAUCACUUGGGUAUGAUGGCGAGUCCACCUAAGGGGCUGUUAACCAUUUAAUUUAAGAUAGCUUAUUCACUUAUUUACCUCUUUUUAAAAAAUUUCUUUAGUCCAUAUUCAUUUGAUUACUCACCGAGUACUAUGUUGCUAAUAUUUAUUUUUGCAUUCUAAAUGUUUUUUACAUUACUUUACUUUUUAAUUCUUAAGUGCACUUAAAACUCACUGCAUUAUUAUUUAACAACUUAAAUUGACUAUCCUAACUUUAAUUGGCUUUCUUAAAAACUUCACUUGUUUAGCUAUUUGAAUACCAUUUCUUAUUCACAUUUGCACACCAAUUAUUAUCUUAACCUAAAUAUAAAUCAGCAUUAGAAAAAUGUACUUGUUGGUUUAAAAUUUUUUUGUUGUAUAUAAAUAUUAUUAAAAACAUAAGCACAUGAAUUUCUUUUUGCCUUUUAAAUGUCUUUGUUUUUGAUCAGCUAUAAGUAAUACAUAUAAUAAAUUUGCAACAAAAGUUUGUGGGUAUUUAAAUGAAAAAUUUGUAACUUUAAAAGAAAAAUAAAUUGGAAAUAUUGGAAUUGAUAGAAGAGCUAGUCAUUAAGUAAACUUAUUAAUCUAAUAGCAAAUAUGGAUCUCACUAAAAGCACUUUAAUUUUAAAGCACCUUCAGAAUAGGAUUUUUAUUCCCAAGGUGGGGGGGUGAAUAAACUUCAUUUAAAAAUAUAUGUAUACUUAUUUGUGAGUAUUUUCUUUUUCUCUUCCAAAUUCUAAAGGUGUAUAUUCAUAUUUUUGUUAUGACAAUUCUGCUUGUUUAAUUAUUGUAAUAAUUUUAUAAAUUCAAUAAAACUGAGCCAUGUGAACAAUGUGGGGGAAAAUGUUUAAUAAAUUUGCCAUGUCACUAAGAAAAAAAAAACAUUAAAGCCAGCAUGUUC